rnacentral:rRNA from 1 species
UAAUUGUUUAAUCGUGGCAAAGUUAGAACGUUAUCUGGUAGUUUUACUCAUGCAAGUCGUAUGGUAUUUAUAAAUAUCAUGGCGUACAGGCGAGGAGAAAAAAGUACAUACCUUUAGUUGAUGAUAGAAACAUCUAAUUAUGAAGGAAAUUUUCCGACUAGAGAUUGGCUUUAUAUCUAGCAGGUAGUUGGAGUGGUAAAGGCGCUCCAAGCCUAUGACGGAUAGGAAAUAGCGAAAGCUUCAAUUCCCGCAAUUGGUUUGAGAAUAACCAAUGGUGUCUUUAAGACAUGCUGCAGAGGAGGAUCUUGGGCAAUGCUCGCAAGAGUGACCCAGCUAACCAGAACUCGAAAGAGUGUCGUAAGGGAGGAUAAUGACGUUACCUUACUAAUAGUCCAAUCUAAGUCUCGUGCCAGCAGACGCGGUUAUACGAACUGGGCAAACGUUUAAUAAAUUAAUAGGUAUUAAGGAUCCGUAGGCGGUUUCUAUUAAAGAAACUAGAAUCUAAUAGAGGAUAGUGGAAUGCUAGGAGGAGGGAUGAUAUCCAUUGAUAUCUAGCGGAACACUAAUGGCGAAAGCAGCUAUCCAGCUAAAGAUUGACGCUCAGGGAUGAAAGUCUGGGGAGCAAAACAGAUUAGAUACCUGUGUAGUCCAGACCGUAAACUAUUUACAUUUCUUAUUUGGCUAUAUAUUUUUCAUUAUGUCAGAUAAGCAGCAAACCGCUGUAUGUGUAACACCUUGUAAGUACAGUCCCAGGACCGAAAGCAAAAAGAUUAGACCAUCCUAAAGACCCGGAGUGGAGCAUGUUGUUUAAUACGAUAAUCCGCGUAGAACCUUACCUCUCCUUGAAUGGCUUACAUAACUUUGUUUGUAAGAUCACAGGCGUUGCAUGGCUGUCGGCAGUUCGUGUCGUAAGAUGUCAGGUUGAGUCCGCCAACGAACGCAAUCCCUAUAAGAAGUUGUUUUCAGUAGUAAUACGGGCUUCGCCCCUUCUUAUUUGCAUUCAAUAAGAAGCAUUUUGGGAAUACGAUAAGCCUUCAUGACCCUUAUGGAGUAUGGGCUACAGACGUGCUACUUGAACCUAACAAACUGAUGCAAUACCGUAAGGUGGAGCUAACCAGUAAAAUAUGGUGAUACUAGGAUCGUAGUCUGAAAUUCGACUACGUGAAUCAGGAAUUCCGAGUAAUCGUUGAUAAGUACGCAACGGUGAACCUUUACAUUUGGGAGAUACUAACCGUCUAUCAAGUGUUGGUCGUUUAUCAAGCUAGGAACUAGUAUUUUCUUUGAUUCUUUUCUCUAUCUUAGAAUACAAUUAUAUGGUGCUUACC